GCUCUCGCCCCAUGCGGGGGCGGACCGGACCGGAAGCGGAAGUGGCUGCGGCCGCGGAGGCCUCUGGGAAACGUAGUCUGCGUCGCUCGGGAGUCUUAGGGGCUCCAUCCGCAGAGCAGGUUGGCAUCACCUGGGAAUCUUUGAAAAGUGAAGGUGCGGGAAGUGGAGAGCGGCUGAUAGCAAUCGGGAGGUGGUACAUUAUAACUGACAUGCAAAAUCUGGUAGAAAAAUUGGACAGGGCAGUGGGCUGCCUAGAGGCAGUAUCCCAUACCUCUGACAUGCACCGUGGGUAUGGAGACAGUGCUUCAAAAGCAGGAACAGCUCCAUAUGCGCAGGCAUUUGACUCGCUUGCCUGUCCUGUGGCAGAGUACUUGAAGAUCAGUAAAGAGAUUGGGGGAGACGUGCAGAAGGAUGCGGAGAUGGUCCACACAGGUUUGAAGUUGAAGUGAACUCUCUUGGUUACAGCUUCUCAAUGUCAACCGCCGGCAGCUUUCCGAUUUGUUGGCACCCAUCUCAGAACAGAUCAAAGAAGUGAUAACCUUUCGGGAGAAGAACCGAAGCAGCAAGUUGUUUAAUCACCUGUCAGCUGUCAGCAAAAGUAUCCAGGCCCUGGGUUGGGUGGCUAUGGCUCCCAAUCCUGGCCCUUAUGUGAAAGAAAUGAAUCAUGCUGCAGUGUUUUAUACAAACCGAGUCCUUAAAGAGUACAAAGAUGUGGAUAAGAUGCAUGUAGACUGGGUCAAAGCUUAUUUAAGUAUAUGGACAGAGCUGUAGGCUUACAUUAAGGAGUUCCAUACCACCGGACUAGCCUGGAGCAAAACGGGGCCUGUGGCAAAAGAACUGAGUGGACUGCCAUCUGGACCCUCUGCUGGAUCAGAUACUCCUCCCCCACCACCAGGCCCCCCUCCUCCACUAGUCUCUAUCAGUUCAGGCUCAGAUGAAUCCACUUCCUUCUCAGCACUGUUUGCGCAGAUUAAUCAGGGGAAGAGCAUCACACAUGCCCUGAAACAUGUAUCUGAUGACAUGAAGACUCACAAGAAUUCUCUGGAUUGUGAAAUAGUGAGUGCCAAAUCUUCUGAGAUGAACGUCCUCAUUCCUACAAUAGGCAGUGACUUUAGUGAAUUCCCAGUUCCUGAGCAGUUCAAGACCCUCUGGAAUGGGCAGAAGUUCAGAAAUUGCUGGAUAAGCAAAGUGCCACUGGGUUCCUUGCCCUCCCUUCAUACCAUGGGAUAAAUUUGUAUCAAGACGGUUCUUUUCUAGAUUUCCUCUACCUUUCUGCUCUUAAAACUGCUUCUCUGCUCUGAGAAGCACAGCUACCUGCCUUCACUGAAUUAUACCUCAGGCUAAGAUUUGCGGUGGGAUAGCAGGUCAGGUGAUCUUCUGUAGGAAGGUGUAGCUUUUCCAUAUUAGCUCAACCACGCCACCAGUCCAUUCUUAAGGAACUGCCGACCAGGCUAAAAUGAUGCAUUUUAGCUUUGAGUUUUGGAGGUUAUUCUACCAACAAACAGUCCAUUGGGAGGAAAACAGUCCAAGGAAUUAACAGAUCAGAAUGUUCACACUGGUUAAUCUUUUUCUAACGAUGAGCAUGAAGGUAGCAGAAGCUGGUGUGUUUCCAGCUGGUUCUUCUAACCAAACUAAUUUUUCACUAUUGACAAGUGAGGCAAGGGUUGCACUGGACUGAAGGCUGAGGCUUGGCCAUCUAGCAUUCCACGCAAAAUGGUUUCCUAUAAGCAUUCCUUUUAUUCACUAUUCUAUCCUAGGUCUGCCUCAACCAUGAGAUAGGAGAGUCUCCGAUACUAGCUGCUACAGCAGUGCCCUUCAUCCAGGGCAGUUAAAGAAGUAUUGGACCUUUUCUUUCUCUGGGAUACCUACCCAGCACCUUCCUACAGAGAUUUUUUUUAAAAAGGAAAAACAACACACCAUUCCAAGGAGUCUGGCACAGCUGAAUCCUCCUUCCCUGCUAGGUGCCUGUCACCUGUCUUCACUGCCUCCUUUUCCUUGUCAUGCUCACCAGCUUAUGGCUUCUGUCCAAGCACCUGAACAGGGGACCAAAACCUCCACUGCAAGCUGCUUUUAGGUCUUGAUUUAUGUAAGAAUCUUGCACAGCACUGCUAAUGUAAAUUUCAGUUUUUUCCCUCUAGGACAAACACUUACCAAAAUAUGCAACUUUUUUGGUGGGAAAAGAGAUUGUCCUGUGAUUUCUACCCAUUUCCUGAGGCCUGUGGAAAUAAAACUUUAUGUACUUAAAGUUAUACAGAAAAUAGAAUAAAAUUAAUACCAAA